UAGAUAGAGGUUGCGUGUUUCAAGAGUAGGUUAUCUGAUGCAGCAGGUGCAGAGGAGGAUGACACAAAAGGGGAAGACGCCGAAAGUCCGAAUAUCCUGCGGGUUCGGUCUUGGGCAUAUGAUUAAGAGUCAUAUGACUGUCAUCUGGAAGCAGAUGGGGCGCUAUCGA
rnacentral:ncRNA from 1 species